rnacentral:rRNA from 1 species
AAGUUUCUUCGGAAAUGGAUUAGCGGCGAACGGGUGAGUAACAUAUCGGAACGUGCCUAGUAAUGGGGAAAGACUAAUCGAAAGAUUAGCUAAUACCGCAUACGCCCCACGGGGGAAAGGCCGGGAUCUUCGGACCGGUCACUAUUGGAUGAGCCUGCGUAGGAUUAGCUAGUUGGUGAGGUAAAGGCUCACCAAGGCGACGAUCCUUAGCUGGUCUGAGAGGACGAUCAGCCACACUGGAACUGAGACACGGUCCAGACUCC